GCGUGUAUGUUUUGUUUACGGUCAGUGAAAAAGCCGAAAUUGUCGACUGCUAAGGUGCAGAAAGUGUCGGAAGCGCAGGAAGUGUAUGUUUCGUUGCUGUUGGAUGCGGAUAAACGGUGGAUCAUUGGCCACUGUGCCGUGUAAUUAUGUCGAAUGUGAAAGAUCCCAGCGACCAAUUCAGUCUGGCGAGGCGUGUGCCAAACCGCUGCCAAAUCAGUCUAAUAAACACACCACAUUGAUUCCAGUCGUGCAACAACGGAAGGUCCCAGAUAUACACCAGUCUGUCAAACUUCGUCCUUCGUUUGAAGCCAAGACAUUAACACAUCUGCUUCAUCGCCAGUGCCAGCCGAACUGAAGAAGACACUGAUUAGAGAAUAAUACCAGAUAAAGACUUGGCUUGAGUUUGUUAGAAAUCAACAUCGAAAUGCAUGUAGUUCUAUAGCGUGUAGUGUAGUUCAUGUUAUUGACGGGGAGUAAUCCCCUCCCAGGAUCUGCAGCACUACAUUGGCGCAAACAAGUAGAACUGUUCACCACCGAGGGUGCUGUGCAAUAAUCUCGUCCGCGUUCAGAUAGACCAGUAGAAUCACAAGGUAGAUAUCUCCAGAAACAUGUAGUGGAAAUUAGAUCGGCGUCAGUGGCGUGAUUUUCUUCAUUCGUAGAAAGUCAACCUGACAUCAAUUCAGGAAAAUAUGAAAUCCAUUUAAAAUUCGCAAAUUGCAAAUAGCAUUUGCUAAGACAAAAGAUUAUUAUAUUAUCUAUGUGCUCAGUUUAAAAUCAGUUUAAAAUAAAUUAAAAUUUAAUUAGAGAAUUGAAAAAAUAAUUAAAAUACCAUUAAAACUAAAUUU